rnacentral:misc_RNA from 1 species
CUGGAUCAAAGAGAUUGGAAACAAUUAAAUCUAUCUUUAGCCAAAAUUUAAUACUCCUAGAAGAUAAUUCAAUCCCCUCAAUCUACUUCGAGCAAGAUACAACCGGGCCGGGCCUCACUGACUUGCUUGUCGACUACUCGACUACUCCUAGGUUGGUGUGCAUGUAUGGUGGUGGUGAGCUCAGCACAGCUGCUGUUAGGCUGUUAGCAAAGGUCAUCCAGGCUCCACAGGCCGUACUCGAAAUCCUCAAACCCAAAGUCCUGCAGCUGCAGGCCGAUCAUGGAGCUGUACUCGUCGUCAGGGCCGCCGGUAGCGGUGACGAGGAGCUCCGAUGUGGUCGACCCGGCGAACACGUCGUCGUCAGUCGUAGUUUGUUCGUAGCCUUGGUCGUUCGUCGUCGGGGUCGCCGUGGCCGCCGAGGUGUAAGUGUAAGCUGCAGUGUAAUGCGACGCGUCGUCCGCCCUGAGCGACGACGACCGCAGCGCGCUGGAGGCGUCGUCGGGGCUGAGGGCCGUGGCCGCCGACGUCGGGCCUGCCGGCUCGCUGUAGUAUUGGUGGUGGUGGUGAGCUUCGCUCGCCGCCGUCACGCCGCGGUGGGCGCCUUGCUGCUGCACCAGGUGUUGGCUCCCGCAGUAGUUAUAACACGCGGGCGGCGCGCUGGCCGUGGUGGUAGCUGGAGCCUGUACGCCGCCGGCCUGGGCGCGCUCUCGCAGGCGAGGCAUCCAGACGUGGCGCACGAUGUGGCGGAAGUGGGCGCUGUUGACGUCGCAGCGGAGGUGCCUGGCGUGCUUCUGCACGCGGGUGCGCCAGUAGUUCUUGAUCUCGUUGUCGGUGCGCCCGGGGAGCUGCUGCGCGAUCUUGGACCACCUGUUGCCCCAGCGCGAGUGCAGGUCCAGGAUCAGCAGCUGCUCCUCGGCGGUUAUGUUGCCCCGCCGCACGUUGGGCCGCAGGUAGUUCAGCCACCGCAGGCGGCAGCUCUUGCCGGUGCGUUUCAGGCCCGCGGAGCGGGCGAGCGAGUUCCAGCGGCCCUCGCCGUGGGCGGCGAUGUAGUUGACGAGGAGGAUGUCCUCGUCCACCGUCCAGGGGCCCCUCCGGAGGUCGUCGGCGCUAUCCGCGGCGGCGGCCUCCUCAUCGUCGCUGCUGCCUGCUGGGACGACAGCUAGUGGUGCUGGUGCGGCGGCGUUGGGCGCAGACGACGUCGCCGAGCUGUCGGCGGGGCCCAUCGCCGCCAGCACCUGGUCUAGGUCCUCAUCGAAGCCCAUCAUGGCCAUGUCCAUGUCCAUGUGACCAUGUCCAUGCUAGACAUAGAGUAGUGGUGGAUCGGAAUCGGCCGGGUCAGAUGCUGAGUGAGCUCGAUCAAUCAGCUGCAGUGGAGAAGAGCAAGAAAAAGGGUUGGACAACGAUGAUGUGUACUGAGAGUUGAGGGGUUGAUGGAGGCGGAUC